rnacentral:sRNA from 1 species
UGGUGUUUUAGGUCAAGAUAAUUUUCGCUUUGAUGUGUUUUGUAGCUAUGCUUACGUGUAAACGAGGAUGCUGGCAAAUCUCAGGAGAUGGUUAUCUUCAGUGUUGCAUUGAUCGUGUUGGUUCUUGGUGCCACAAAGUGAUGAGCUCAGGAGGAGCUGCCACUUCAUGAAGAUCGAAGGAGUCCAUCUUGUGUAAGGCAAGGUUGCACAAAGUAUAAGCUGCUCCGGUGAGCUUGUGUGGAUACUUUGUAUGAAUCUUGCUUACACUGUGAAUUGGACUCAGUGAAGAGUCCCCGAUUUUUUUAACCCAGAGGUGGGUUUUUCCAACCAAAAACAUUUUGUGUUGAUCAUUGUUUUUCUCAGCUUUUAUAUCUCAAUAUUUGUAUAUGAGAUGCGAUCACCAUAGACUGUCCUUACAACUAAGUUAAUCAGUGUUUGAAUUUGUACUGAAUUGGAUCUUAGUUAACUAGGAACUUUUCAGUAAUUCAAGUCUUUAAAUUGAUUACUUUCGU